UGUAUUUCUUUAAGUGAGUUAUUAAAGACCUUCUUGAUGUCUUCUACCAUCAUCAUGAGAUAUGCCUUUAAAUCCGGGUGUAGGUUUUCUGGUGUGUUGGAGUGCCCUGGACUGGCUGAGGUGGGACUGCUGCGUUCUGAUGAUGGUGAGUGAUCUUGAUUUCUGUUAGUAAGAUUCUUCUGUCUGCCUUUCGCCAUCUGGUAAACUCUGGAGUCAGUUGUUAUAGUUGUCUCUGGUUAGAGCUUGUUCCUCUCCUGAUUCUGUUAUUCUCUACCAGCAGACCUGGGAGACUAGCUCUCUCCUGAGUUUCAGUGGUCAGAGCACUCUUUGUAGGCAGGCUCUCCUCUUUCAGGGAAGGUGCACAGAUAUCUGGCGUUCAGACUAGCCUCCUGGUAGAAGAUGAAGACCCAAAACAGGACCUGUCCCAGAAAUUGUUAGCUUCUGCAGUCCACACUCUCACCUGUGAAGUCUAGGCUCGGUGGUGUCCAGGAACCAAGAUGUCUCCCCCAGAUCGUCUGGCAAAGCCCUCCCAAUCCGGGCAGACGCCUAUCCUCUGGCAGGGAAGGUGCCAAGAUAUCUGGAGCCCGAAAAGGGGGCUGCCUCAGAAGCUCUAUGGCUCCUGCCUGUCCCAGAAGCUGUUAGCUUCUGCAGUCCACACUCUCACCUGUGCAGACUAAGCUUGGUGGAUGUCAAUUUUUAUCUUAAUGCCUGUGAUACCACAGUCAUUGUUCAGAAUGUGCUUCUUAUGCAUAUAACUAGAAGUACAUUUUCUACUUUCUCCUCUGUUGAAAUCAGAUUAUCAAGUUGUUCUGAUUAAAUAUUUUUCACUUGACACAAACUAGGGUCAUAUGGGAAACUCAGGAAAGAAUUUCAUUUUGAGAAUUGCCUGUUCCAUAUUUGCCUGGGCUGUCUGUCUAUGGGGCAUUUUCUUAAAUAAUGAUGGAUAUUGGAGUGCCCAUCCACUGUUAUUAUUGUCACUCCAGGACUAGUGAUCCUAGACUAUACAAGAAAGCAACUCAGCAAGCCAUGAGGAACAAGAUAAUUAGCAAUACUCCUCCAUGGUUUUGCUUCAGUUCUUCCCUCUAAAUUCCUUCUUAAUUUGCUCAGUAAUGGACUGUACUGAGAAAUCAUACACCAAAUAAACUGGUUCCUCUUCAAGUUGGUUUCAUUCAGUGUUUUAUCACAGCAACAGAGAACCAAACUAGGACACAGCUUUUAUGCUGAGGUUCUUGAUCCAUGUAUGAUUAAGUUUUGUGCCAGGGUGAGAUAAUAAUCUAGUUUCAUUCUUUUAUCUGGAAUCAUGAAAAUGACCAGUACCAUUUGUUGAAGAUGCUGUCUUUAUUCCAAUAUUUAUUUUUGGCUUCUUUGUCAAGAAUCAGUUGGCUGAAGAGUGUGGGCUUAUAUUUAUGUUUUCAGCUGUAUUGCAUUGAUCAAUAUGUCUGUUUUGUGGUGGUACCAUGCUCCUUUUAUUUCUAAGCUCUGUAGCAAGACAAAGACUUCAUGUUCCCUCUCCUAUGUUGAUGCUAGUUUUGACUCUUAAGAUGGGUAUGAUUUUAUUUUAGUACCCAUAG
rnacentral:lncRNA from 1 species